AUUCCGAAGCGCUGUACAAUGGAUAAGACAAACAUUUAACAAAACAUGUAUGGCAUAUUGGAACAGUAGACAAAGAGGACUCUGAACAAAUGAGCUCACAAUCUAAAGACUGUCUAUAUUAGAUAACCAAUAUCGCUGCAAUUGUAUUUACGUUUUUUUUAUUUAUAUAAAUUUCAGGACAAAAACAAUUGCUACUUGACUACU